UGACAAGGGCAAACUGAGUGAAAAUUCAGGACGCAAAGCUUCCGGUCUAAGGGAUAAAUAAUCCUACGACAGCGGGGCCGCCAA
rnacentral:ncRNA from 1 species